UUAUGUUAAUAUUGAUUCACAUAUCCUGUGCACUCCCGUCAUAGCAGACAUUGAUAAUGAUGGGGUAUCAGAAAUGAUUGUUGCAGUUUCAUACUUCUUUGACCAUGAGUAUUAUGACAAUCCAGAUAAUUUGAAAGAACUGGGUGGCAUUGAUAUUGGAAAAUAUGUUGCCGGUUCUAUUGUUGUAUUUAACCUUGACAC
rnacentral:misc_RNA from 1 species